rnacentral:misc_RNA from 1 species
AUUUUUUUGUUCAUUUAGAUAUAGUAACCUCGCCUCUUCUAAUCAAGAUUAUAAAGUGGACAUCAACCUCAUUGUUUGCUUUGAUCAGUACUUUUGCUUCUGCAUUUGAUUUAUAUUACUGGCAUACCAGGUACUCUGAUGUUACUUUGGUUAAGUUCUGUUUAUAAAUGCUUUUCAGGUUAAAAUUUUGUGGUAUGAGAAGGGCAAUGGCUCUAUUGUUUUAAACUAGUCUCUGGUCUGCCGGAAAAUUAUUUUUGAGUGUGCAUGUAUUUUUAACUAAUCAGUUGAUUGGUAAUUAAUAUUACUACUGCCACCAUGUAACAUCUGUCUUGGAUUCGUUUGUGUACUGCUAUUUGAAGGAAGGAAUGCUUAUGUUACUGUUAAAUGCUUCCAAAGGUUAGACUCAAAUAUUAUGUUAUAAUCGAUAGAAGAAUGAAACGAGUUUCAGCUUACCAUAUUGAAGUGCCAAUUAUUCCUUUGUCCUGAUCUUAAG